rnacentral:tRNA from 1 species
GGGCUCGUGGGGUAGUUUGGACUAUCCUGAUGGCCUUCGGAGCCAUCGACCCGGGUUCGAAUCCCAGAGGCGCUCG